AGAGCGAGACUCCAUCUGAAAAAAAAGAAAAAAAGAAGUUCCAAACUUCUUCUGAGUCCUCCAAACUCUUCCAAACCUCUGCCCGUUAUUCAGUUUCAAGCCACUUUCACAUUUGCAAGUAUCCUUAAUGCAACCCCCAGUCCUCAGUAUCAAUUUUCUGUCUUAGUCUGUGUUGUGUUACUCUAAAGGAAUACCCAAAGCUAGGUAAUUUAUAAACAAUAGAGCUUUAUUUUGCUUAUGGUUCUGCAGGCUCUACAAGAAGCAUGGCACUGGUACCUGCAUCUGAUGAAGGCCUUAGGCUGAUUCCACUUAUGGAGGAAGGGGAAGGGAAGCUGGGAUAUGCAGAGAUCACAUGGUUUCAUCAGACUGCCAAAGAGGUCCAUGUCACAAAAACUAGUUAAGAAUCCCAGCUUUGGAUAAAGACCACAAUUCGCAACAGAUCUUUCCAAAGUCACGUAUUAUUUAGUCCCCUCUUAGUCUUCAACUCAUCUCUCUUCACUCCUCCCCAACAGCUUCUUAUCCACCAAAACAUCUGCACACAAGACUGACUGAACUACUUUCAGUUUCUUUGAUGGCCCAUGUUCUCUCUGUUUCCCCUGCCACAUCCUCUCAAUUCUCCAACCCCAUCCCAUAUAUCCCUGCACCUGGAUAAUGUUUACGCAUUCUUCAGGCUCUGGAAAGCCUUCCUGCCAAACACACACACAUACAUACACACACACACACACACGCAUGUGUGCGCAUGGCUCAGGUCAUGCCACGCUUCCUCCAUAGCAUCCUCUACAUCCCCGGCACAGUGCUUAUCUCCUUUGGUGUAAAUGAUAUCAUCUAUUUUCCUCAAUAGACUCUAAGCAAGCUCUGUAUGUACAUGGACCAAGACAGCCCUGCUCACAGUUAUAUCCCUGGAAUCUAGUACAAUCUGGCCCUGAAUAAAUAUUUAUUAAUGA